CCUACGGGGGGCAGCAGUGAGGAAUAUUGGUCAAUGGGCGGAAGCCUGAACCAGCCAAGUAGCGUGCAGGAUGACGGCCCUAUGGGUUGUAAACUGCUUUUGCGCGGGGAUAAAUUGGGGAACGUGUUCCCCUUUGCAGGUACCGCGCGAAUAAGGACCGGCUAAUUCCGUGCCAGCAGCCGCGGUAAUACGGAAGGUCCUGGCGUUAUCCGGAUUUAUUGGGUUUAAAGGGAGCGCAGGCCGCCCCUUAAGCGUGUUGUGAAACCGGGGCGCCCAACGCCCGGCCUGCAGCGCGAACUGGGGGGCUUGAGUGCGCGCAACGCCGGCGGAAUUCGUCGUGUAGCGGUGAAAUGCUUAGAUAUGACGAGGAACCCCGAGUGCGAAGGCAGCCGGCGGGAGCGCAACUGACGCUUAUGCUCGAAGGCGCGGGUAUCGAACAGGAUUAGAUACCCUAGUAGUC
rnacentral:rRNA from 1 species